rnacentral:lncRNA from 1 species
ACAUGCAGAACAUGAUGGAGAUACUGGAUUUUGAGACUCAUUUUGAAGUUUUUUUUUUUUUUUUUUUGCAUAAAAGCGACAUGGUUAUUCACUUGCAGCCUACUGUAGAACCAGUAACAUGGCUCCACCUAGUGCAGGUCAGCACCUGGGUGUGCAGUGAUAGAGAGUAUCUUGGCUAUAAACAGAGAGCAAAGAUACCUGGCAUUUUGAAAUAAUACCUUUAAUAGAAAAGUUAGUGCUAUAUACUUAAAAUAUUAAGCUCAUAAGGAUGCUUAUAAACCAGUGUGUGUGUGUUUUCGUUUGUUAAAGAGGAACUAGAGUCAAUUUAUUCUUCAGUUUGCCAUUAUAUAUAUAAUGGUUGCUGGUUUUCAUUUUCCAGAUAACCAAGGUGACCUUGUUGUGACUUCCUGCAGAGUUUUAUGUGUUCAUAUAUACAUAUGUUGCUGUAGUUCCCAAACAUGUUUUGGAAACUGCAGGGGUGAUUUCAGAGGUCUUUGAUAGGGACUUCUCCUCCUAGGAACAUCCUAGUGCUCCUAGGCAUUGCUUAGGUAGCGUCUGCUUUUCCUUUCAAUAAUGCUCAACGUUGAGAAAGACACUCUAGUAUCCCGGUUAGAUUAUCUUGGGCACCUUUACAUGUUCUGUUGCCAAGCCUGAGUGAAUUUGUGUUGCCAAGAUUUGUUAGGCAUAGUUAGGAAAGAGGCAUGGUGGGUGUGCUGGCAGGGUUGACAGUCCAGGGGCAGGAGGGGCGUGGGGAGACAUGUGAAAUGGCUCCUGGAGUGUGUCAUGUUUUCCAUUGUUGGUGUACAGGAACAAGCCCUUUCUUCAGCACAGACAUGCUUCUAGCUCUCAUGUUUAUCUCUCUUUCCCAGGCUGUCCUUUGUGUUCCAACCAUUGUCUAGAAAUCUCUGUUGGGUGUUAGGCAUUUCAAAUUCAAGGUGUCCCAAGUGAGACUCUUCACUCCUCGCUCCAGUUCCUUUCCAUCACAGUAAAUGGCAGGAUGGCUCAUUCUAGUGCUUGACCUCCAAUUCCAGAGGUCACUCUUAGCCCUCCCACUAAAAUCAGUCCAUUGUGAGUCUUUCUGAUGUUAGUGACAAGACCCACCUUGGCUCCCUCUGCUUUAGUUGACAGUAACACCGUGUGUAGUUCUCUCCUGACUGGUUGGUUCAUGUUUGGCUCCAGUGAUUUUUUUUUUAGUCCCAGACACACUCUUCACCUUCAGACUGCUCUGGGGCAGAGCAUAAGAGGCUCGGCGGGCUCUGCCUCUCUGCCUCUCUGCCUUGUUUUCUCACCGCUUUCCUGCCCCCCUCCCUGAGCCCCAGCCUGGAUGUCCUGCCUGUCUUCUUGGUCUCACUUUGCUUCCCCAGCUUGGGGCUUUUGCUUACUUCCUUCUCUCUCCUUGAUGCUCUUCUCUCAGGACACUUGCGGUUUGAAUCUUAGUUGAAGCCUUACCCGGGCAGUCUGUCCUAAAAACCCUGUCUUUAUCAUAAUGCCAUUUUUUUUUUUUGUCUUACAGUGUGCUUAUUAUAAUGCUAUGCCUAACAUUCCAUAAAAAGUUAUGGUAAAGCUGGGCGUGCUGGCUCACGCCUUUAAUCCCAGCACUUGGGAGGCAGAGGCAGGCGAAUUUCUAAGUUCGAGGCCAGUCUGGUCUACAAAGUGAGUUCCAGGACAGCCAGGGCUACACAGAGAAACCCUGCCUCGAAAACC